GCUCUUCUUGCGCAGCUUAGGUGGAAGGCUGAGAAAGGCAAUUCCGGUUGUCUGGAGCCAUCAGUGAGAUACCACUCUGGGAGAGCUAGGAGUCUAAUGGCGUUCCUUGAAUCAGGACGCUUGACAGUUUCAGGUGGGCAGUUUUACUGGGGCGGUAGCCUCCUAAAAGGUAACGGAGGCGUGCAAAGGUUCCCUCAGGCUGGACGGAAAUCAGCCAUAGAGUGUAAAGGCAGAAGGGAGCUUGACUGCAAGACCUACAAGUCGAGCAGGGACGAAAGUCGGCCUUAGUGAUCCGACGGUGCCGUGUGGAAGGGCCGUCGCUCAACGGAUAAAAGUUACUCUAGGGAUAACA
rnacentral:rRNA from 1 species